UACAGAGGUCCCAAGCGUUGUUCGGAUUCAUUGGGCGUAAAGGGUGCGUAGGCGGCGCGGUAAGUCGGGUGUGAAAUCUCGGAGCUUAACUCCGAAACUGCAUUCGAUACUGCCGUGCUUGAGGACUGGAGAGGGGACUGGAAUUUACGGUGUAGCGGUGAAAUGCGUAGAUAUCGUAAGGAAGACCAGUGGCGAAGGCGGGUCUCUGGACAGUUCCUGACGCUGAGGCACGAAGGUCAGGGGAGCAAACGGG
rnacentral:rRNA from 1 species